rnacentral:rRNA from 1 species
GAGUUUGAUCGUGGCUCAGAUUGAACGCUGGCGGCAGGCUUAACACAUGCAAGUCGAGCGGAGAUGAGGUGCUUGCACCUUAUCUUAGCGGCGGACGGGUGAGUAAUGCUUAGGAAUCUGCCUAUUAGUGGGGGCAACAUUCCGAAAGGAUGCUAAUACCGCAUACGUCCUACGGGAGAAAGCAGGGGAUCUUCGGACCUUGCGCUAAUAGAUGAGCCUAAGUCGGAUUAGCUAGUUGGUGGGUAAAGGCCUACCAAGGCGACGAUCUGUAGCGGGUCUGAGAGGAUGAUCCGCCACACUGGGACUGAGACACGGCCCAGACUCCUACGGGAGGCAGCAGUGGGGAAUAUUGGACAAUGGGGGGGAACCCGUGAUCCAGCCAUGCCGCGUGUGUGAGAAGGCCUUAUGGUUGUAAGCACUUUAAGCGAGGAGGAGGCGUACUGAGACUAAUACUCUUGGAUAGUGGACGUUACUCGCAGAAUAAGCACCGGCUAACUCUGUGCCACG